rnacentral:lncRNA from 1 species
CACCGCUGGGACGUCGGCUGGCCGGCGCCACCCGGCCCUCUGGGAGUUGAGCGAGAGCAGAGAAAAGUUGAAAAGACCGACAAAGACUGUGGGAAGUUGGCUUUUAUCCACACUAGGGACGGUCCCAGGAACGAGGAACUAGUUUGUGAAUGGCUCAAAGAAAAGCAAACCGAUGUCCAGGGGUCUUGUGCAGGACCUGAAAGUGUAAGUGCGCAAGACUGGAUAUGCAAAAUGCUUUAUUCCAUGCGUGUCUUUUGUGUGUACGUGAGCAUAGUGUUCCUGUAUUCAGGCCUCUGUUCUUGUGAAUAAGAAUAUUCAGAUCUUUUCCUCUAAGUGUAUGUCAUGUAGGUAUGAGUGUGUGGACACAAAGGCUUCCAGGAUAUUUGUCUGCCACUAGGAUGCAGGUGUGUGGGCAAGCUCGGAGCAGCUGCUGCUACUGGGCUUGUUUCUGCAUUUGGUAGUCCGGGCAGGUUGAUGUGUGCCUGGAUGCUAGUUGGCACAGUGUAGAUUCUAGAUCAUCCUUACAGGACUUGAAGUGGGUGAAAGAUGGUGGCCAUCUCUUUUCCUAAUGUCAGGACUUCUGGAGUGUGUUGGUGGUUGGAUUCAACUCUAUAACUAGGAAUCCGA